rnacentral:rRNA from 1 species
GUGUACGCAAGUCAUUGGGUGAAUAAAACCCAAUGGCGAAAUGAAAGUAAAAAAGUUAAGUUGAUAAUAAAAGAAAUUUUUUUUUUUUUUAUUAUCUCUUGCUUUAAGGGAUGAUGAAAAUUUUAUUAAUAAUAUAUUUUUAUAUUGUUAUUUUAAAUUUUUAGCACUCCCGGGGCGCUUGUUUCACGCUUUGCGUGUCAAUGCGCACCUAGAGCGUACACGCUGAUACCCGAAAGAUGGUGAACUAUGCCUGGCCAGGACGAAGCCAGGGGAAACCCUGGUGGAGGUCCGCAGCGAUUCUGACGUGCAAAUCGAUCGUCGGAGCUUGGUAUAGGGGCGAAAGACCAAUCGAACCAUCUAGUAGCUGGUUCCCUCUGAAGUUUCCCUCAGGAUAGCUUGCGCUCGUUUGUGAAGAGUCUCAUCCGGUAGAGCGAAUGAUUAGAGGCAUUGGGGUCGAAACGACCUCAACCUAUUCUCAAACUCCAAAUAGAUGAGACCCUCGGCUUUCUUAAAAUUGAAGCCGUGGGAAUCG